rnacentral:lncRNA from 1 species
UCUCCUGGGCAUGAGCUGGCAAACGACAGCCUGCAGGCCACAUUGUAUCCGCAAUCAGUUUUUGUACAGCCUGUAAGCUCAGUUUUUGCAUUUUAAAAGCAUUGUUGAAAGAAAAAAAAAAAAUGAAACAAAGAAGAAUAUCAUAUGACAGAGACCUUCGCAGUCACAAGGGCUAACAGUGGCUAUCUGACCCUUUACAGCGAGAGUCUGCCAACCCACGCUCUCGAUGACAGGAAUUCAGCAACACGUUCUGUACCAAAGGAAGGAGGGUGAAGAGAACUAUGAGACGGUCCCAUGGGAACAGCUGGAAACUCUAAGCCUAUCACCCUUGCUCAGCCUUUACAAAUAUCUUCAUUUGAUGCAGAGGCAUCCUUUUAAUUUAUCCAUUUCAUGAGCAACAAGGCUCUCGCCUUUUGGCCCUCGAGAGAAAAAGCAGCAGAAAUCUGAGCAACUUACUCAUUCAAGCAUUUUUUUUUUUUUUUUAAUAAGAAAACACAAACUUGUCUGCUCCUCCCUUCUCACCUCCCUCUUUCUCCAACCUGGUCAUUAUUUCAAGCUUGAACACGUCCUUGUGAAAACAUUAUGGUUUAAGGUGGUGCCUGCUAUCAUUCCAUUGGUUUGGGGGUGUUGAGGACUAAGCUUUAAAAUAGGUUACGAGUAGAAACUUGGCAGAGAGAAACAGACACUCAGGGUAGGCACCAAUUUUAUGUAAUUUGAAAACAGCCGGUUUAGAAUUUGCUAAUUCAUAAGAGCUCAGGAAAGAAAGCAAACCUCAACAACCUCACCUAACUGAAAAUACUCACAUUCUGAAUAUAGCUCAGUGCCCAUUCAGAAUCUGCCAUUAAUUUCAGCUGAUGUUUUCCUUCCUAGCAUAAUAAGUACUUUCUUCAACUGAAAUGUGGGAUCAUUACAAACAAAAAUAUUGCUAUUGACUGACUGUAAGUGGAUUACAUAUUUACUUUGCUUUAUUAGAAGGCCCAGGAGAGGUACGACCAUAACUUAGGCCUUCUCUUGCAUUCCAUACUGCCUAGCAGGGCACAGAAUUGGCAUGAAGAAAAUAAAUUCUUGUUUAUGAAAUAAUAGCCCGUGCAAAGAAUGAAAACCAGUAAAUGAGACUGGUUCACCCUUGCCAGAUACCCACAUUUUAAUGCGGUCAUUGGCAAAGUCGGAAGUUUCUUAGCGCUGGAGGAGGCGCCAAAUUUCAGGGACCACCUUUGGAACUUGGUGACACAAAGCGGAUGACACUUUCAAAUGGCUCUGGUCUCUAACAUUUGUGUACCUUUGAGAUGGAAAGGGUCUCCCCUCUAUACACAUCCUCUGUUUCCCAAACAGUUCAACACUUACAUUUUAUUUUUAAAUUUUUUAUUAAAGUAUAGUUGAUUUACAAUGUUGUGCCAAUUUCUACUGUAUAGCAAUGUGACUCAGUCAUACACAUAUAUACAUUUUUUAAAAAAAUAUUAUUUUCCAUCAUGGUCUGAUCCCAGGAGAUUGGAUACAGUUCCCUAUGCUACACAGCAGGACCCUUUUGUCUGUCCAUUCUAAAUGCAAUAGUUUCCAUCUAUUAACCUCAAACGCUCAGUCCAUCGCAAUCCCUCCAACACUUAAUUAAUUAAUUUAUUUUUGCUUUUUAGGGCCACACUCGAGGCAUAUGGAGGUUCCCAGGCUAGGGGUCCAAUGGAGCUACAGCUGCCAGCCUAUACCACAGGCCACAGCAAUGUAGGAUCCAAGCUGUGUCUGCGACCUACACCACAGCUCCUGACAAUACUAGGUCCUUAACCCACUGAGCGAGGCCAGGGAUUGAACCCGCAACCUCAUUGUUCCUAGUCAUAUUCGUUUCUGCUGGGCCAUGACAGGAACUCCCUGAAUAUAUUUUUUAAAAGGAAGACAUCAUACCAACUAAUAGGUCAUUCAUCUCCACUUCACUAAAGUCACUCCUCUUUUCAUAGUUCUAAACAGCUAGUCCUUUCUGAACAAUGAUUUUCUUGCCCUCUGACUACAUAUCAAACUAAAUGUUACUUACAAGCAAUUGACUGCAAGUUUGUUUAACAGCAAGACAUCCUUUUAAUUAACUGCCCUCUUUUUUUAUUGGAGUUGACAGGCAAUACAUUUGUAGCAUCUCAACUGAUUACAUGAAGUCUUAGGUAGUUAUGUGCCAAUUGGGAAAGAAAAAAUAGCCUAUAUUAAUCCUAUUAGGAUUAGGUUUUGUGGUUAAGAAACCCACAAGGAGAAAAACAUAUCGAUUAUUUCAAAGAACCUCUGAUUGAAUUUGUCAUUACCAAUUUUUUAAAUAGAAAGAAAUUAUUAAUUUCAUUAGUGAGAAAAAUCUGUAUUUUCUCCCACUUUGCAGGACAAACUUGUUCUUGAGGUAUUGCUGAUCUUUUCCUCAGACUCCUUCUGCUUCACCGUGGACAUUCUAGUUCUAAAAAUGUCCCUAAGGAAAUAAUCAAGAAUACACACCAACAUUUAACCAAAAAUAUAUUUACUGCCCCCCUGCCUGAAAUGGAUAAAACUGCUUCAUUUCAGUGGCUGGAAAUGGGGUCAAUAAAGCAUUGUACAUGCACAGAAAAUAUACAUACGUACAUGUUGCGUAGUCAUUAGAAAUGGAACUGUAGACAAUACAUAUGAGCAAAUACUUAAGAUGUAAUGGGUUAGUGAAAAAAAGAAUUCUAAGUGGUAUAUACGAUUUCAUUUAUGUUCAGUAUAUAUGGCUAGAAAAAUGACUGGAAAGAUAUAAACAAAACCUACACCAAAUGUUAUCAGUGUGGGGGGAGUUAUAGGUGAUUUUUAUUCUCUUCUUCAUACUCUCCUUGUUUCAUACACUUCACUCAUUUUAUAAUAAGAAGAAAAGUAUAUUUUCGAAGUAUAUUUUGGAAGAGGGUUCUCCCGCAGGUCUUAAUUAAAUGAUAUUCUAGACUCAGAGCUGUCUAGCCAACCACUCCCAGAAGCAGUCAAGUUCUUAACUAGAACGACUGCGCGCCAACACUGGUUCCAUCUCUAGAUUAUUGUGAGAGCUGAAAAGAAAAAGGUAGUUUGGGAAAAGUGUCGACUCCUGCAUUUAUAAACAAGAAAAUUCUCAGUAGGAGGAGGAAUCAUUAAAACCAACCAAAAAAAAAAAAAAAAAAAAAAAAAAGGAAGAAAAGAAAAGAAAAGCCCACCCUUGUUAUCCAACACUCACAUCGAACAGGUUUUAUAUCCACACAUUUUAAGAAACCAAGAGGGAGUCGUAAACCCAAUUCAAUUUAAUUGGGUGCUCUCUUGACAGAAUUGUUAUUAAUAAGAUUGUAUUGUACAAACCUCCCAGAAAUCCCCAACGCUGCUGCCUACACCGGCAGAAACAUUUAACAUCCAGCGCACAACACACAGUUGUGUCUGCUCCUCUGUCCUGGGCCCCUCCCACAGACUCCUCAUCUUUCUUCGCCCCUUCCCCUUGGAUUCUCAAAUCAAAGAAAAAGCUUGUCUUGAGCAACCUCCAUAAAUUAUUCACAUGAUAUUACAGUGUAUGUCAGCAAUCUCGCAGUGUUUAAAAAACUUAACUACAAGCCAAUUAAAAUGUAAACUGAGAAAGACGGAUGGAGCUGGUUGCUCUGGUGUGAACUUGAGCAGCUCAUAACAAUAUGCACUACAACUUCCAGACCUGCUAAUUUGACAGCAACUUUCAUCAGCAGAGCCUCCCCUUCCCCCCAUGCCUUCCCUCUCUUCCUUUAAUGCAGUGGUUCUCCCAGGACAAAUGGUUCCACAUCCUCCCACACUCAGCCGAUUGGUCCCCUGGGCCUUGCAACCAGCCCAAGCACUCAAAGUGGAAGUUAUUAACAAGGGUUUGUUUCUUUCCCUCUUUGUUUUUAAGGAUGUGUAAUAGAGACCUUAUUUUCUUUACAGGCUGCAGUGCAUAAGUAAAAUAGGCUUUCCCCCCCCAAAAAAAAAGAAAGAAAAGAAAAGAAAAAGAAAGAAGGCAGGAAAAAAGGCGAGCAAAGAUGAUGUAUUAGGGAGACAAGGCAAGGACGUGGAGAAGCUAGCCAGACGGAGACGCUGCUCUGCAACGCACCUCCUCCGUCAUUUUCAUUUCAGGUUUCUCUAUGCGACACUUCACACCAACGGGUCUAUAUGCCACAUUUUCACGUAAUCUAGAGACAAUGACAAGACUACAGACAGAGAGUACCGCUUUGAAAGGGCAAGAAGGCCUGGACUACUGCACAGAGAGUACCUUUUUGAAAGGGCAAGAAGGCCUGGACUACUGCACAGAUUUUGAGCAGUUCUCUUAGGACAAAAAUACAGGUUCCUUAAAAAAAUACUCCAGGAGUUCCCAUCGUGGCACACAGUAAGAAACCCUUCCAUGAGGACGAAGGUUCGAUCCCUGGCCUCGUUCAAUGGGUUAAGUAAGGAUCCAGUGUUGCCGUGAGCUGUGGUAUAGGUGGCAGACACGGCUCAGAUCUCAUGUUGCUGUGGCUGUGGUGUAGGCCAGCAGCUGUAGCUCCAAUUUGACCCUUAGCCUGGGAACUUCCAUAUGCCACAGGUACGGCCCUAAAGAGCAAAAUUUAACCAAAAAAAAAAAAAAAAUUUUUUUUUUUUUUAGAUAACUCUACUGUAGUGCUGUCUAGGACUGAGAACAGCUAAUCUGACUGAGAACAGUGAUAUCUGGUUAUUCAUUAUAGUGGAACACAGCAACACUACAGACUGAAUAAAGCCUAACAGGCUGCUUUCAACUCACAUUUUGCCCUUAACUGCCUGAAACCCUCCUUUGACACCUGUCAGUCUCUUGAUAUUUCUUUCUCAGGCUUCCACUGAAGGCCCUAAGAGAUGCUUUGUAUUUUAUGCCUUAUUUUGAAAACAGGGCUCCUGAUCAGGGCAAUGCAGAUUAAAACCACAAUGAGAUACCACUUCACACCCACUAGGAUGGCUACAGUCAAAAAGACAAAUGAUAACAAAUGUUGCCAAAGAGAGGAAGCUAUUGUGAAGGUAAAAUGUACAUUAUUUUAUAAGGUAAAUAUAAAAUAUAAAUGAUGUAAAAUAUAAAACGAUACAGACACUUUAAGGAACAAUCUGGCAGUUACUCAAACGGUUAAACCAUGUGAUUCAGC